rnacentral:rRNA from 1 species
AACGAACGCUGGCGGCAGGCUUAACACAUGCAAGUCGAACGGGCACCUUCGGGUGUCAGUGGCAGACGGGUGAGUAACGCGUGGGAACGUACCCUUCGGUUCGGAAUAACCCAGGGAAACUUGGGCUAACACCGGAUACGUCCGCAAGGAGAAAGAUUUAUCGCCGAAGGAUCGGCCCGCGUCGGAUUAGCUAGUUGGUGGGGUAAUGGCCCACCAAGGCGACGAUCCGUAGCUGGUCUGAGAGGAUGANCAGCCACACUGGGACUGAGACACGGCCCAGACUCCUACGGGAGGCAGCAGUGGGGAAUAUUGGACAAUGGGCGAAAGCCUGAUCCAGCCAUGCCGCGUGAGUGAAGAAGGCCUUAGGGUUGUAAAGCUUCUUUCAGCGGGAAGAUAAUGACGGUACCCGCAGAAGAAGUCCCGGCUAACUUCGU